UAUUUGUUCUCCUGUGACGGACAACAUCGGGAAAUUGAUGGGAAAACGUCUAAGUUGCAGUUAAUUGAUUGUGACGUAAACGAUUUUGUGCAGGAGAGUAAGAUGCCAUCCUAUCAGUUAGUAAGUAGGGUAAGGGCCUACUUAGACGAAGACGGGUACGGGGAAUGAGGGUUUGAUUCCGGAGAGGGAGCCUGAGAGAUGGCUACCAGGACCAAGGUCAGCAGCAGGCGCGAAAAUUAUCGAAGCCCGCCUAGGGGCGAUAGUGAGGAGACGUGUAUAACGAAGUACGUGUAAAGAACGUGCUAAUAACUGGAGGUCAAGUCUGGUGCCAGCAUCCGCGGUAAUUCCAGCUCCAGGGGUGUCUAUGAUGAUUGCUGCGAUUAAAAAGUCCGUAGUCAAUCUGACUGACUGACCUGCAAUGUGAUUGAUUAAAGAACGAGCAGGGUUAGGAAAGCAGAGAAUUAGGAGCGACCGAGGGCUAGAGUAUUGAAUGGCGAGAGGUGAAAUUUGAUGACCCAUUCAGGAGUGACAAAGGCGAAGGCACUAGUCAAGGGCGAAUCCGAUGAUCAAGGACGUAGGCUAGAGUUUCGAAAACGAUUAAAAGCCGGAGGAAUUUUAACCAUUAAAUAAUCCGGCCCCGGGAAAAAGUUUUUUGUGGUUGUAUUGCGGAAGAGAAAUCAAGUAAGGCUUUGGGGAGAGUACGCGCGCAAGCGAUAAAUUUAAAGGAAAUUGACGGAGGAACACCACAAGGAGUGGAGUGUGCGGCUUAAUUUGACUCAACGCGGGACAGCUUACCAGGCCCGAUAAUCGAGCGAGCGUAGUACGCGAUAGAUUAAAGAGUGGUGCAUGGCUGCUAUCGACAGUUGGGGUGACCUUAGGGUUAAUUCCGGCAAGUAGUGAGACCCCUGCAGAUAGUGGACAGGUAUUUUUAAAAUACAGGAAGGAAGGGACAAGAGCAGGUCAGUGAUGCCCUUAGAUGGCCUGGGCUGCACGCGCACUACAGUGGUCAUUAUAAGUAGAAGUUAGAAGUAAAGAUGAUCGAGAGGGACUGAGCUUUGUAAGAGGCUCACGAACGAGGAAUUGCUAGUAAUCGUAGGCUCAUUAAGAUACGAUGAAUAUGUCCCUGUACCUUGUACACACCGCCCGUCGUUAUCGAAGAUGGAAUUGUGUGCGAACGAGCAACAAGCGAGGAGC
rnacentral:rRNA from 1 species